AUAGGUAAUAGUGACAACUGAUCCAUCAAUGGUGAGCCCUUCUCAGUCUAUUGGAGAAGCAUCUCAGGCUCUGCCCCCUUCGCGGUUCGACCAUAGCUUGGAGCCUUUGAAGAAGGUAUUCAAGAGAACUCCUAAGGCUGACAAGGAGACGACAUAGAAGAUAGUAGAUCCUAGAUUAGUAGAUGAGCCAUCAACAAAGCCACGUAUUGCAUCGUAGAGGCUCAAUUUUGAUGAUCCACCACAAAUAUAGGAUCAUAUAGUGUUAGUUGUGGUCACUGAAUGACCAAUACAUGUAGGUAUAUUCUAAAUUUUUAUUGUAUAUCGAUUUGGACAUGGCAUAUGCCAUAUUUUUGUAAUACU